rnacentral:lncRNA from 1 species
GAACGUUGUUUCUAAACUGUAUCCUGUGUUCUUUUCUGUAGGUCACUUCUGUGCAGGCAGCUUUACAGAUGCUCCUCUGUGCCCAGCAGGGAGCUUCAAGCCCAAAGAGGGACUACACAUGCCCAGCAGCAGCAGCUCCUCGUUCUUGCCCGGAACUGGAUUGUGUCUAAAGUGUCCUGCUGGGUAUUUCUGUCCUGCUGGAGCAAGUCACCCAGCACCAUGCCAGCCAGGUACAUACAAUCCUCUCCAAGGACAGGAUGAAGCCACUGACUGCAGAGCCUGCCCAGCAGGAAGAGCUUGCACUCAGGCUGGAUUAGCCCAGCCUGACUCCGAGUGCUUACCGGGGUAAGCCUUGGUUGUUUUCUGUGCUUUCCUUUAUGUCUCUACAUAAUUAUGUAUAUUAUGUCUCCCUCUUGAGUCAAACCAUUGGCCCUGACCGACCUGCUGCGUUAUUAGGUACGUGUGCCCAGCGGGGUCAUCCAGCCCCCAUUUUCCCAGCAAUGCCUGUCCUCCAGGAACGGUUGGUGAUGGCUUCGAUCUCUUUGAUAAGUCCCAGUGUGAGACGUGUCCUGCUGGAUAUUUCUGUGCUAGAGGAACAGGGGGAAAACAGAAGCCUCCUGCUCCGUGUCCGGUUGGUCACUACUGCCCACCAGGCACAAAGCACGCAGUGCAGCACAAGUGUGCCCCGGGCACCUGGAGCAACAGGACAAGGCUGA